GUCCCAGGCCAGGGAGCAGCCAGCCCCACUCCUGCCUGGAAGGAAGUGGCUGAGGAGAAGGAGGUGGCAGGGAGCCCAGGCUGGGAGGGAAAUAAGAAGGUCUGGAAGGAGCCUGCUCUCCCUCCUUCAGAGGCCUCUGGGGUGCAGAGCCAGGAGGAACGGCCCGGCGGGUGGGCCCCCCAGGUCCUGAGGAAGCUCUGGCGCGGCUGGUUCCCCGACUCUGACCGCCCUGAGACUCAGAAGCACGAGUGACAAUCCAAUAAACGCACAAGGUGAUGCCGCUGA